GACCCGUCUUGAAACACGGACCAAGGAGUCUAACAUGUGCGCGAGUCAUCGGGUCUUGUUCAGGCCCGUAGGCGAAAUGAAAGUGAAGGGCGACCCAGUCGUCUGCGUUGGGACCCCGGCCACUCGUUGGCCGGGAGCACCAACGGCCCGUCCCGAUCGCUGCGUCGAUGGGGCGGAGCGAGAGCGUACACGUUGGGACCCGAAAGAUGGUGAACUAUGCCUGGGCAGGACGAAGCCAGAGGAAACUCUGGUGGAGGUCCGCAGCGAUUCUGACGUGCAAAUCGAUCGUCAGACCUGGGUAUAGGGGCGAAAGACUAAUCGAACCAUCUAGUAGCUGGUUCCCUCCGAAGUUUCCCUCAGGAUAGCUGGCGCUCGGAGGAGGCAUUCUCAUCCGGUAAAGCGAAUGAUUAGAGGCCUUGGGGCCGAAACGACCUCAACCUAUUCUCAAACUUUAAAUGGGUGAGAAGUCCGGCUUGCUCGACUGAAGCCCGGACGCGAGGAUGCGAGUGCCCAC
rnacentral:rRNA from 1 species